UGUGGGCCCUGGGCCACCCCUGCAGGGUGCAGACCCAUGCCGGCCCGCCCUGGGAGUGACCAGGCCCUGGGGCAGGCAGUCCCCCCGGCCGGCUUGGGGGCGGUUCAGACACGUGGCCGGCUCCACCUUGCCAAAGCCCUUCCACACUGGGGACUUCGUUCCGGCCUCACGCUGAGGACAAACAGCGCGGAGAGAGCCCAGGGAGCCUGCCGGGUCCGCGCCGCCCACCCCUCCCCGGGCGCUGUGUGAUAUGCACGGCCAGCGGUGGGGACCGCGGGCCCUGGCACCAACACAGCAGGUCCCUUGGAGAGUCCAGCUGGCGGACACUCAGCCCAGGGCCGCCCGCUGAGCGCCGAGAAGGGAAGAGGCCGCUCCCGCCAGCGCCCGCGACCUCCGUGGCAGAAAGGGAAGCAUGGAGCUCCUUCUGAUCUCGGCACGCCCAGGAAGAAGAAAGGAGACCCGGCCACCAGCAUCCCUGUGCCCCUCCCAGUUCCCUGGGCAGCCAGGGUGAAGGCACCGCGGUUCUUUCCACGCAACCUGCCAGGCCCAGCUUGAGGAAGCUGCUCUCCAAGCCAGGCAGAGCCGGUGGGAAAGAACAUGGAAUGUGCCGGAACAAGCCACCCCAUCCAUCACUGUCCCUGUCUGCCUGUGGUUCCCAGCCUGCCCUGCCUGGCUGAGAACUGGCCACAGCCCAGAGCUCCCAGCCCUGGGGUUCUAGAACCUUCUUCUGCCCGCCUCCAGUCUGCAAAGCUGCUGGAAAUAACAAGCCUCUGCUUUGAUCAUU